rnacentral:rRNA from 1 species
AUACGUAGGGGACGAGCGUUGUCCGGAAUUACUGGGCGUAAAGGGCGCGCAGGCGGAUAUUUAAGUCAGCUGUAAAAGGCUAUGGCUCAACCAUAGUAUGCCCUGCGAACUGGAAGGCUUGAGUACAGGAGAGGAAAGCGGAAUUCCUAGUGUAGCGGUGAAAUGCGUAGAUAUUAGGAGGAACACCAGUGGCGAAGGCGGCUUUCUGGACUGAAACUGACGCUGAGGUACGAAAGCGUGGGGAGCAAACAGGAUUAGAUACCCUGGUAGUCCACGCUGUAAACGAUGAGCACUAGGUGUCGGGGUCGCAAGACUUCGGUGCCGCAGUUAACGCAAUAAGUGCUCCGCCUGGGGAGUACGUUCGCAAGAAUGAAACUCAAAGGAAUUGGCGGGG